GCUGCCAAGAGGCCGGCACAGGGCCAAGUCUCACAGGCUGGCUCUCGGGACUCCCUGAGCAGCUCGCCCAGGCCUACCUACCUCUGCCGCCAUCAAAUGGCAGAAGUGGGGAUUCCAGUCUCACCAAGCCUCCGACUUGUGACGGAUGGAGAGGGAGGAAGACUGAGGGGGAAGAAACGCCUUUCUUUACUACGGAGGAACAUAGGAAUGUUUCUACUUACCAGGGCAUGAGGCGUCCCAGGCGAGUCCAGGAGGACUUGCUGAUGCAGAAACCCACCAGAGGGUCCGUGAAGGCAUCCCAGGCUCGACCCACAAAAAGGAUAAUGGAAGCAGGGAGUGGCUUCACCUGCCAAGGGGCAGAAGCAAAGGUGUCCUUCAUUCAUUGGCCUUCGAGGGCGUCCCCCACUGCCACACCCAGGCCACCAAGACCUUACAUUGCUCCCACCUGGAUCUUAAACACAUUUUUUUUUUCUUGAGACAGGGUUUCUCUGUGUAGCCCUGGCAGUCCUGGAAGUCGCUCUGUAGACCAGGCUGGUCUCGAAUUCAGAGACCUGCCUGCCUCUGCCCCCCAAGUGCUGGGAUUAAAGGUGUGCAACCACCACUUGGUUUCCCUCACUUUCUUAAUAGUGACAAUAGCAGAUGCCAGGGUUUAGCUC